rnacentral:misc_RNA from 1 species
AACGCACAUUGCGCCCUUUGGUAUUCCGAAGGGCAUGCCUGUUCGAGCGUCAUUAUCAACCCUCAAGCCCGGCUUGUUAUUGGGUCCUUAUCGUUAAAGAUAGGCCCGAAAGAUAAUGGCGGCGUCAACAAUGACCCCAGAUGCAGCGAGCUUAUAGCAUACAUCGAAAGGUUUUGUUGCCCCGGCCUUAUUUUGCUUCGGCAAAUAUUUUUCAAAGGUUGACCUCGGAUCAGGUAGGAAUACCCGCUGAACUUAA